rnacentral:rRNA from 1 species
UACGUAGGGUGCGAGCGUUAAUCGGAAUUACUGGGCGUAAAGCGUGCGCAGGCGGUUUUGUAAGCCAGAUGUGAAAUCCCCGGGCUUAACCUGGGAAUGGCAUUUGGGACUGCAAGGCUUGAGUGCGGCAGAGGAGGACUGGAAUUCCCGGUGGUAGCAGUGAAAUGCGUAGAUAUCGGGAGGAAUACCGAUGGCGAAGGCA